rnacentral:rRNA from 1 species
UACAGAGGGGGCAAGCGUUGUUCGGAAUUACUGGGCGUAAAGGGCGCGUAGGCGGCCGCCUAAGUCAGACGUGAAAUCCCUCGGCUCAACCGGGGAACUGCGUCUGAUACUGGGUGGCUUGAAUCCGGGAGAGGGAUGCGGAAUUCCAGGUGUAGCGGUAAAAUGCGUAGAUAUCUGGAGGAACACCGGUGGCGAAGGCGGCAUCCUGGACCGGCAUUGACGCUGAGGCGCGAAAGCCAGGGGAGCAAACGGG